GUUAAUGGAUCAAUACCCUGAAGGCAUCAGAACCUGUCUGAUUUUGGAAGGUAAGCAGAGUCAGACUUGGUUAGUACUUAGAUGGGACAACGCUAAGGAAUCCUAGGUGCUGUAGACU
rnacentral:rRNA from 1 species